rnacentral:rRNA from 1 species
GCGUUGUCCGGAUUUAUUGGGUUUAAAGGGUGCGUAGGCGGCCCUGUAAGUCAGUGCUGAAAUAUCCCGGCUUAACCGGGAGGGUGGCAUUGAUACUGCAGGGCUUGAGUACAGAUGAGGUAGGCGGAAUUGACGGUGUAGCGGUGAAAUGCAUAGAUAUCGUCAAGAACACCGAUAGCGAAGGCAGCUUACCAAGCUGUAACUGACGCUGAGGCACGAAAGUGUG